AGAGUUUGAUCAUGGCUCAGAUUGAACGCUGGCGGCAUGCUUUACACAUGCAAGUCGAACGGCAGCACGGGAGCUUGCUCCUGGUGGCGAGUGGCGAACGGGUGAGUAAUAUAUCGGAACGUGCCUUGUAAUGGGGGAUAACUAGUCGAAAGAUUAGCUAAUACCGCAUACGCCCUGAGGGGGAAAGUAGGGGAUCUUCGGACCUUACGUUAUAAGAGCGGCCGAUAUCUGAUUAGCUAGUUGGUGGGGUAAUGGCCUACCAAGGCUUCGAUCAGUAGCUGGUCUGAGAGGACGACCAGCCACACUGGAACUGAGACACGGUCCAGACUCCUACGGGAGGCAGCAGUGGGGAAUUUUGGACAAUGGGCGCAAGCCUGAUCCAGCCAUUCCGCGUGAGUGAAGAAGGCCUUCGGGUUGUAAAGCUCUUUCGCAAGGGAAGAAAACUUACACAAUAACACUGUGUGAGGCUGACGGUACCUUGAUAAGAAGCACCGGCUAACUACGUGCCAGCAGCCGCGGUAAUACGUAGGGUGCGAGCGUUAAUCGGAAUUACUGGGCGUAAAGCGUGCGCAGGCGGUUUGGCAAGUCAGAUGUGAAAUCCCCGAGCUCAACUUGGGAACUGCGUUUGAAACUGCCAGACUAGAAUAUGUCAGAGGGGGGUAGAAUUCCACGUGUAGCAGUGAAAUGCGUAGAGAUGUGG
rnacentral:rRNA from 1 species